CUUAGUGGCGAACGGGUGAGUAACGCGUGAGAAACCUGCCUUCAGUGGGGGACAACAGUUGGAAACGACUGCUAAUACCGCAUAAUGUCAUUUGGGGGCAUCCCUGAAUGACCAAAGAUUUAUUGCUGAAAGAUGGUCUCGCGUCUGAUUAGCUAGUUGGUGAGGUAACGGGCUCACCAAGGCGACCGAUCAGUAGCCGGUCUGAGAGGAUGAACGGCCACAUUGGGACUGAGAUACGGCCCAGACUCCUACGGGAGGCAGCAGUGGGGAAUAUUGGGCAAUGGGGGAAACCCUGACCCAGCAACGCCGCGUGAAGGAAGAAGGCCUUCGGGUUGUAAACUUCUUUUACCAGGGACGAACAAAUGACGGUACCUGGAGAAAAAGCAACGGCUAACUACGUG
rnacentral:rRNA from 1 species